ensembl:piRNA 21ur-13003 ncRNA
UUUCACCUCAAAAUCCAUAAC